CCCCCAGCCCCCCAGCCUCAGAUCAGAACCUGUAGUCAACCAAGAUCUUCAGGUGAUUUCUCCUACACAUUAAAGAAGCACUGCCUCCAGGAAAUUAUGGAAGCAGCCACGGGUGGGGCGGGGGGCGGUGGGCACUGUGCUAUGGUAAUAGAAAUCCAGCAGGAACAGAAAACACAGGGACAGCAUCCUGGGAGAAAGACAGAGCCCUUGUUGCCCAAAUGGCUCCCCUCUUCUCUGUCCGUCCUCUGUUUAAGUAUUUCCUCUUAGGAGUAUAUUCUAGAUAUUCGAAACUGACUGGAGGUUUAAUAGAAAUCUGGGCUCAGAGAGAGUAGGCUGGUCACUCAGGAAAAGACCUAAGGGAGACAUGAAGCUUGCGUUAUCCAGAAUCUUCUGGAGCAAGGCGUGUCUGUCCAGGCAAGUGCCUGUUACUUACUGAUUUUACAGUGUCCUCACCUCAUCUCUGGUUUGCUCUUGUCACUAAUGAUAACCACCAUUGGUAUACACUUAAGGUAGAGAAAUGUAGACAAAAAGAAGCCCCCUUAAAUUGUAUGUUUAUCUCAAAAGCAAUUUUCACCUUUUAAUUACAUCUUCCCUUUGGAUACCUAGAUCGUUUUGUCACUAAGCGUCCAUGUAAUCCUGUCCACACAGAUGGUCACUGGGGCACUGCCUCUGGAAGGCACUGGUGGAAUUACCCAGCCUGUAGCAAGGGGCAGCAGCAGACACUGUGUACGUUCUUAGUGGGGUCGGUUGUCCGGUCUGAAAUUUGUGACUAAGCGAACUGUGUUUAGAUUAAGUGUACAACCAGACAGUUUAAUGUAAACUGUUGUAACAAUCUUAAUUUCUAAGUCCUAAUAACUAUUUAUUUUCUUCUUAUUUUAGGGUGAAUCUGUAAAAUAUUUCCUGGAUAACUUGGAUAAACUUGGAGAAGCAAUCUCUGCCAUUUCCCUGAGGAGUGCCCUGCCCACUAGUUCAUGAACGUGAAACUGUUCAGAGAAAGAAGUUUAUGUUUGAAAAUCAGAUUGCACAUUAUCUAUUUUAGUUCAGGGUCUUCUGUGGUGGGGGGGUUGUUUUUUUUUGGUCAGCAGAAACAGAACACAGUGGGUUGAUUGAUUUCAAAACCUUUUAGCAAAUGGUAUUUUUCAGUUCAGAAAAGGCCUGCUGAAGAGACUCCACGAAGUAGGAGAAGGAGUCAACCUUGGAAGGAGAGUGGACGGUUUUCCUCUCGGCCGGCGCUGUGGCUGGCUCAGGCUGCCUGGGCCUCCUGCAGGCACGGCAACUGCUCUGUGUUCCGUGGGGUGGACGCAGGCCAAAGACUGGAAGAAGGCUUGCUGUGCUCAGAAAAUGUUUGAAUGUCACUGCCCUAGAGUCACGUGUUACCUUCUGGACUUACCGAAACAUUAUAUGCCUCCUCUUAAAGCAGAUUUCUGUAAUACAUGUUAAUAUAAUCAUACGGGUUCUUUGAAAGUCACUUUAAAAAUAAAACCGAAAGAAAGCACAAAAUGAAAAACCCAUUGCAAGUAGGAAAGUGGCGUACUGAUACAUCCAGGACAUGUGAAAAUGUACCUUCUUUUUGCAAGAUAAUUUUUACAUUCUCUUAUUUUGGAUUUUGCUAAAUUGUGGUUAUCUCUAAGUCCUUAAGCCAGUGUGUUUUUUCGCUUGCCUCUUUCCUAGACACGUGUGUUCCAGAAGUUGGGAUCUCCAUAUUAAUGGAUUUUUACUCACUCAGUCCACAUCAGUGAAACUUUGUAUUAAGACUUUA